GUCCACGCCGUAAACGAUGGGAACUAGGUGUGGCGGGUGUCGACUCCCGCUGUGCCGAAGCUAACGCAUUAAGUUCCCCGCCUGGGGAGUACGGCCGCAAGGCUAAAACUCAAAGGAAUUGACGGGGCCCGCACAAGCAGCGGAGCAUGUGGUUUAAUUCGACGCAACGCGAAGAACCUUACCAGGGCUUGACAUGCAUUGGAAAAACCGUGGAAACACGGUCCCCCUUCGGGGCUAAUGCACAGGUGGUGCAUGGCUGUCGU
rnacentral:rRNA from 1 species